CCCCUAGAUGUUCUGGGCCGCACGCGCGCUACACUGAACAGUUCAACAAGUCUUAACCUUGGCCGAUAGGUCUGGGUAAUCUUUGAACGCUGUUCGUGAUUGGGAUAGACCUUUGCAAUUAUGGGUCUUCAACGAGGAAUUCCUAGUAAACGCAAGUCAUCAGCUUGCAUUGAUUACGUCCCUGCCCUUUGUACACACCGCCCGUCGCACCUACCGAUUGAAUGGUCCGGUGAAAUCUCGGGACGGCGGCUUGGUCGCUUGCGUCCGACUGGUGAAACUUGAUUAAACCAUAUCAUUUAGAGGAAGGUGAAGUCGUAACA
rnacentral:rRNA from 1 species